rnacentral:misc_RNA from 1 species
UGUCCCACCCGGCCACAG